CUCAUACCAGCCUUACUCCAAG
rnacentral:piRNA from 1 species